GCUCUGGUGGUCUAGUAGAAUGAUACGUGCUUUGGGGACUUCGCUCUGAUGCACGGGGUCCCGGGUUCAAAUCCCGGCCAGGGUC